GGAAAUCUGCACAAGAACUAUGUGUGCUUGCUAAUUUUGUCGUAGGUCAAGCCAAAUUGGCAAUUUUGAAGUCUCAUCAAGAAAAAAAUGCAGGAAGAGAUGUUUGUAUUGUGGUUUUAUUCAAAUCCUUAGUGGAAUCACGAGUGAUUAUAGAAUAUACAUAUUAUAAGCAUAUUAAUAAUGUUCUUUUUUUUAAAAGGAGAUGGUGUGUUAAGGAAGCACUGGUUGUAGUGAAUGAUAAUGGGGGGUUGGUUUUUAAUUGCCACCUUCAAGUGUAGAUGCAGAAGGAGAUCAAUGCACACCACAUCGCAACAGACAAGACAAGCCCAAAGAAUCUUUCCACCAUUUAAAAAUAUCAUGGAUCAGACUCCAGACAUUUCCACAGACCACAAGAGAGAGAAGCAGUCAAAAGCAUCAUCGAACAUCCCAAAGAAUCUGCCAUUGUUUGUAAUUCUAAUGCAUGAUUUUUUACAAAAAAUUCCUGUUUUCAGCUCUUUCCCUAUUAGUCUUUCGUUAAUUGGAUUUGAGGAGUUGAUGGAGCUAAAAGUUUUUGUAUGCCCAUGCAGACAUGAUCUGAAUAUAUGGCUAACAACAUCUAUUUUACUUAGUCCUCCUUUUUUUAUUUUUGCUUUAAUGUAUUUUGUUUUAAGACCUUUUAAACAUGAUUGGUUUCAUUGUUCUCAAAGAGAGAAUGAUACUCGGCAGAACUGGCCUAAAGCUUUAGCACAUUGUCUGAUGCCAUCUGCAAUGUGGAUCAUCAUCUUGUUACUUGAUGGUGAUUAUAUUGCUUGUGCCAUGACAGACUGGAAGGGAGUUUAUGUGUUUGAUGUUGAGCUCAACAGGUCGUGGUGUAAACCCAAUGAAGACAUGCGAAAUGCGGCAGAGCUCCGAGAUUUGAAUCGCCAGUAUAUUUAUAAAUCACAGAUUUUAGGUUAUUCCGCAAGCUUUAUCUUAAGUGUAAUAACAAUAACCUUAAUGGUUAUUUUUGACUGCCACAUAAGUGGGAGAUGUGACUUCUGCCCAAAAUGCUGCAGACCAACAGCAGAGAUACAGACUGAGAAACAAGGUUCUGCUACAAUGGGACAGGAACUGCAAGGGUCAGGGAGUUCUGCUACAAUGGGACAGGAACUGCAAGGGUCAGGGAGUUCUGCUACAAUGGGACAGGAACUGCAAGGGUCAGGGAGUUCUGCUACAAUGGGACAGGAACUGCAAGGGUUGGGGAGUUCUGCUACAAUGGGACAGGAACUGCAAGGGUUGGGGAGUUCUGCUACAAUGGGACAGGAACUGCACUGGUUAGGGAGUUCUGCUACAAUGGGACAGGAACUGCAAGGGUUAGGGAGUUCUGCUACAAUGGGACAGGAACUGCAAGGGUCAGGGAGUUCUGCUACAAUGGGACAGGAACUGCAAGGGUCAGGGAGUUCUGCUACAAUGGGACAGGAACUGCAAGGGUUGGGGAGUUCUGCUACAAUGGGACAGGAACUGCAAGGGUUGGGGAGUUCUGCUACAAUGGGACAGGAACUGCAAGGGUUAGGGAGUUCUGCUACAAUGGGACAGCAAGAUUCAAGGAGUUCUGCCUCAGUGAGACAUAAACUACAAGGGGCAGAGGGUUUUGCUGCAGUGUCAUGGCAAUUAGAGAGUUCUGAUAUAGUGCGACAAGGAAAUAAAGGGUUAGGAAGAUCUGCUCUAGCAGGACAUGGACAACAAAUGUCAGGGAGUUCUGCUCCAAUGGGUUCUAUUACAAAAACACCGGAACGGCAAAUGCUACUGCAAUUUCCAUAGCAACUUAAAAAAAAAAAAAAAGUGAAAGGCCAUCUACUAACAACAGACCAGUUAUUAACAAAUUGAUUUCUCUCUAUCUUUAUUAAACAAAACUAUCCUAUGCCAUCAGAUACCAAAUGUGACACACAAGUACAUUAAACUGUUUUGUCAGAAAGAAGAAAGGAUGAUCAAGAUCCUUCAGAAGCUGCAGAAACUUUGCAUAUUUGAAUAUUUAUAUUUUGUAAUGAAUUAUAUUAGAUAAACUUCUGAACUUCAGAUAAAUAUAGGCAGAUAUUUUGCAUGUGCAAAUUUUUUAAAGCACGUCUCUUUUAAUGGGAAAAUACCUUUUUGUGAAAUGAUUUGCUUGGAAUAGUCUGUUUCUGUAAAGCAUGUUUCGAUGGAGGGGGGAAAAAAAAGGAUAGGGCCGGUUCUAGACAUUUGGAGGCCCAAGGCAAAAUUCAUGUUGGAGCGCCCCCACCCACAAUAAAAAGCACUUGAAACAAAUAUGAUUCCUAACCUUUGUAUUUAUACAACAUUUGCAUUGAUGCAUUGCAUAAACUUACUUUUACGUACAUUUUUACGUAUACAGUACAAUUCAAAUGUAGCACCCUCUUCCUCCUCAGGGUGGCUUACCUGAGCACUUAGGAUGGGCACUUGGGUUCGAUAUGGGACAGUCUCUCGACUAAAUAAACUUAGGUCCCUCUCCUCAAUCACUGAUUAGAAAGUAAAGAUGUUAACUUUUAAAAUUGCCCUUAUAGGUCAAAUUAAAUCAACCCAAUGAAACCACUGAAACCCUUUACUCUGGUUAUAUAGAUACUUUCCUUUAACCCAUAAUAACUUCACUGCAAUCACUCAAAUUAACACUAUGAUAGUGUUUAUUUAACAAAAUAAAUCUAAAAGAAAAAGGGAAAAAAUCUAAUCAGAAUUUACAGAAGUCACAGCAAUUAAACAGGCUUUAGUCAGAUUGCCCUUUUUACACUACACCUUUUAACUGUGUUACUCUAAAUGCACAAAUAAGGCAAUUUAAACUUGAUCCCAAGUUCAAUGGAAAAACAUUAUCAAACUGUUCCUUAGAUAUUGCAAUUGCAAUGCAACAUAACCAUAUUAACUCACGUGGGCCCACUCACACACAUACAUACAUUCAGAGCCAAACAAAAUGUGAACUGAGGUACCUUUAAUCCAAUGAGUUCUCCCAAUUUAGGAUCCUCGAAUCAUGGGUACUUGACCAAUUGUAAAGUUGCAGUGCUCUUUUCGUGUGUGUGUGUGUGUGUGUGUGUGUGUGUGUGUGUGUGUGUGUGUGUGUGUGUGUGU
ensembl:lncRNA